UCUGUCAAGUUUGAUAGCAGUUUCUUAUGUUUUACCGAAUUCUAUAUAGAAAAAAGUAAUCAACAUAAAAUGAGGGUCUCGCUCGUUGGUGGAAAUUAAUCCUCGGGUUCACAACACGAACUUACGACAGCCAUGCAACACUUAUCGUUCCUACUAGAUAAGACAAUCUUAUUUAGUUACAGCGGAACCAAUUAGGGUUGGUAAGAUUCUUCGAGGGUCAUCAAUUUGCACAACGUGCUCCACUGCUUGUAAGAGCCCCCGUCAAUUCCUUUGAGUUCCAACCUUGCGAUCGUAUACCCCAGGCAGAUUAUUUAACGCGUUAGCUGUAAGACCAGAAACAUUCCAAUCCUUAAUAAUCAUCGUUUACAGCGUGGACUAC
rnacentral:misc_RNA from 1 species